CUGGACAGCGUCUCUUUAAUCAUCAAGGACUCCUUGGAGGGGGAGCUGACCAUCAUCGACAACCUGUCGGGCUCCAUCUUCCACCACUACUCCUCGCCUGCCGGCUACAAGAAGUGUCACCACGACAAGCAAGAGGUGCAGCUGGCUGAGACGGAGGCCUUCUCCCUGAACUCAGACAGGUCCUCGUCCAUCCUGCUGGGUGACGACCUGAGUCUCGAGGACCCCACAGCCUGCCCACCUGGCCGCAAAGACAGCAAGAGAACUUCCUGUGUGAGAUGGAGGAGAUCCCAUUCAACCCUGUCCGGUCCUGGCUGAAACAUGACAGCAGUCAAGCACCCCCAAGUCCCUUCUCCCCGGACGCCUCCAGCCCUCUCCUGCCCAUGCCAGCCGAGUUCUUCCACCCUGCAGUGUCUGCCAGCCAGAAAGGCCCAGAAAAGGGCACUGGCACAGGAACCCUCCCCAAGAUUGCGCUGCAGGGCUCCUGGGCAUCUCUGCGGUCACCAAGGGUCAACUGUACCCUCCUCCGGCAG
rnacentral:lncRNA from 1 species